rnacentral:tRNA from 1 species
CCGACCUUAGCUCAGUUGGUAGAGCGGAGGACUGUAGUCGGUAAACCCGCAGAGAAUCCUUAGGUCGCUGGUUCGAAUCCGGCAGGUCGGA